UCAUCUCUCUCCAACAGUUAACCAAAUUUAUUAAUAAUUAUCCAUGAUUCAAAUUGGUAAAAUAUAUUUUUUAUUAUUUUUUUAGGUGCUUAUUUGCAUGAUUUGGGGUGGAAUACUAACACACCGCUUAUCCACCAACUCACAUGUUCAUCUAUAAAAUUAUAUAUAUUGUGUAAGAAACUGGCAACUGCAUCUGCAAGGGGGAACCAUAAAGUUCAACUACUCUUUAUUACAAAGCUCAGCAAUAGCAUUCACACUGUUCCUUUAGCAACAAAAUCCCUAACCCAUAUUCUCUGCAUUUCCUGUUCACGUUAACCCACUAUCCAAUUAACAUCCCGUUAAGCUGCUCACCUGCAGAGCCAUCUAUUCUCUGGCCUCUGCAGCAGAGCUUUAAUCCCUUUGCUCCAUGCACCUGAUGGCAGGACUCACAUGGUUGUAGUUCUGGAUGCUUUUUCAAGCCCAAACAAAUUGCCUCUCCAGCAUGCUUCCCAGCAUAUUUAAAGAGGUCGUUAAUCUUCAUGGGACAAAUUACCACCGGCAGCUCAGCAGCGUGGCACUGAUGGACUGGGCAGGCAACAAAGCCACUCUGCCAUAACUGAGAGGAGUAUUUGCCUUGUAUCCACUGCAUUUCUUCUGAAACUUCUCCUCAUUUCCUUCAGCAUUGUGGUGCAAAUUAUUAUAAUCUAUGACUUUUCAUUGGCCUGUUGUCAGAACCAUCCGUUCCAGCUCACAUUGAACGACCCUCUGCUGACACCUACCCAGCCACUUUGACUUUCCCCUUCUCAGAGAGAUGAGCUCCUUUGCAUCACAGCCUCCAUUUGCUGAGUUAAAGGCUUGAACUUCCUUUAUCACUUCUUUCUCCCCUGUUUUCUUAAGGCCCUAAAGCUUCAGUGCUAACAUUUGGGUUUUCACUGGCAAAUGGAGUGACACAGAGCUGUGCAGGAAUCUGACAGUGUAAUUUUAAUAUCAAAACUAAGGUCUGUUUGCCAUGGUAAGGAGCAUACAUACAGCAAAAACACAUGCUGCCAUAACAAAAAAGGGAACAACAUAAAGUAUCAGUGCUAAUAAUAAUAAUAAUCUGCAUGAGAGAGAUGGAGAAAGAAAGAAAAAGAAUACAACCUUCAACCUUCCCUAGGCAACUCAAAUGCCAGAGCAUGUACAGUAUAGUUUGUAAAUCUUUUCAUAUUUAAAGCAUGCUAAAAAAAUAACAUAAGUAUCUAAAUAGGUAAUCUUUUCAGCCAGACACCCACACUGAUAUGAAACACAGGCUGUUAAUUUGGACCCCACCGAAAUGCCUCAGGGGAGACCAGCGCUGCCCAGGGAUCCUCUCUGAAGGGGCAAUUCCAGAAGUGGGGAGUCCUGUCCCGUCUCCCCUUCAACUUUCAUUUCA
rnacentral:lncRNA from 1 species